rnacentral:ncRNA from 1 species
GAUUACUCCACUAACACUAUUAACAAAUAAAACAAAAGAGGGAUUCCAACAAUCAGAACAAAGGCUUUUUAUUUGUUAUUUUUACUACAAUGGGCGGGACAAAGGAUCGCGAUCUCGUGAGGGUGAGCUAACUCCAAAAAUCUGUCCUCGGUUCGGAUUGUAGGUUGCAACUCGUUUGCAUGAAGUAGGAAUCGCUAGUAAUCACCGGUUAGCCAUACGGUGGUGAAUCCGUUCGUGGGUCUUUGUACACAACGCCUGUCACACUAUAGAAGUUGACUAUGUUUGAACUCAUUAACCUUAGUCGUAAGAAGGAAGAUGCCUAAGGCUAGGCCUUUAACUAGAGUGAAGUCGUAACAAGGUAGGGCAUGCUUG